AACGAACGCUGGCGGCACGCCUCAUACAUGCAAGUCGAGCGCGAAACCACCUUCGGGUGAUGUAGAGCGGCGAACGGGUGAGUAACAGGUGGGUAAUCUGCCCUUUGGCGGGGGACAACAGCUGGAAACGGCUGCUAAUACCGCAUGUGGUUGUAUGUUUAUGACGUACAAAGAAAGGCGCCUCAAAGCGCCACCAAAGGAUGAGCCCGCCCCCCAUUAGCUAGUUGGUGAGAUAACAGCUCACCAAGGCAUCGAUGGGGUAGCCGAGCUGAGAGGUUGAUCGGCCACACUGGAACUGAGACACCGGUCCAGACACCUACGGGUGGCAGCAGUGGGAAUAUUGCGCAAUGGGGCGAAAGCCUGACGCAGCGAUGCCGCGUGAGUGACGAAGGUCUUAGGAUUGUAAAGCUCUUUUCUGAGGGAGAAUAGGUUCUGGAGGAAUGCCGGAAUUCGUGACGGUA
rnacentral:rRNA from 1 species